GAUGAACGCUGGCGGCGUGCCUAAUACAUGCAAGUCGAGCGAACAGACGAGGAGCUUGCUCCUCUGACGUUAGCGGCGGACGGGUGAGUAACACGUGGAUAACCUACCUAUAAGACUGGGAUAACUUCGGGAAACCGGAGCUAAUACCGGAUAAUAUGUUGAACCGCAUGGUUCAACAGUGAAAGACGGUCUUGCUGUCACUUAUAGAUGUAUCCGCGCCGCAUUAGCUAGUUGGUAAGGUAACGGCUUACCAAGGCAACGAUGCGUAGCCGACCUGAGAGGGUGAUCGGCCACACUGGAACUGAGACACGGUCCAGACUCCUACGGGAGGCAGCAGUAGGGAAUCUUCCGCAAUGGGCGAAAGCCUGACGGAGCAACGCCGCGUGAGUGAAGAAGGUCUUCGGAUCGUAAAACUCUGUUAUUAGGGAAGAACAAAUGUGUAAGUAACUAUGCACGUCUUGACGGUACCUAAUCAGAAAGCCACGGCUAACUACGUG
rnacentral:rRNA from 1 species